rnacentral:rRNA from 1 species
UAGAGAAGUAAAAGUCGUAACAAGGUUUCCGUAGGUGAACCUGCGGAAGGAUCAUUAACGAAUAUAAAUCGGAAAGCUGUCGCUGGCCUCUCGGGGCAUGUGCACGCUGACCGUGUUUCAAAAAUUUCUCACCUGUGAACCUAAUGUAGGAUGCCUCUCCUCUGGGAGAGGGGACCUAUGUCUUCAUAUACAUCUUCGUGUAGAAAGUCUUAGAAUGUUUACUAUCAGAGAGUCGCGACUUCUAGGAGACGCGAAACUCUGAGAUAAAAGUUAUUACAACUUUCAGCAAUGGAUCUCUUGGCUCUCGCAUCGAUGAAGAACGCAGCGAAAAGCGAUAUGUAAUGUGAAUUGCAGAUCUACAGUGAAUCAUCGAAUCUUUGAACGCACCUUGCGCUCCUCGGUGUUCCGAGGAGCAUGCCUGUUUGAGUGUCAGUAAAUUCUCAACCCUUCUUGAUUGAGGGAGUUUGGAUAGUGGGGGUUGCUGGAGACUUUUAUUAGACUCGAGCUCUCCUGAAAUGCAUCGGCUUGCGGUCGACUUUCGACUUUGCGCGACAAGGCUUUCGGCGUGAUAAUGAUCGCCGUUCGCUGAAGCGCAUGACUGAAGGUUUCGCGCCUCUAAUACGUCGACUCUUAUUAUCUCUUCGGAGAGAAAAGGUCUUCUUUAUUGACUUUUGACCUCAAAUCAGGUAGGACUACCCGCUGAACUUAAGCAUAUCAAUAAGCGGAGGAAAAGAAACUAACAAGGAUUCCCCUAGUAACUGCGAGUGAACCGGGAAAAGCUCAAAUUUUGAAUCUGGCGGUCGUCGAGGCCGUCCGAAUUGUAAUCUAGAGAAGCGUUUUCCGCGCUGGACCGUGUAUAAGUUUCCUGGAANGGAACGUCGUAGAGGGUGAGAAUCCCGUCUUUGACACGGACUACCAGGGCUAUGUGAUGCGCUCUCGACGAGUCGAGUUGUUUGGGAAUGCAGCUCAAAUUGGGUGGUAAAUUCCAUCUAAAGCUAAAUACAGGCGAGAGACCGAUAGCGAACAAGUACCGUGAGGGAAAGAUGAAAAGAACUUUGGAAAGAGAGUUAAACAGUACGUGAAAUUGCUGAAAGGGAAACGCUUGAUGUCAGUCGCGUUGGCCGGGGAUCANCCUUGCUUAAUCGCUGGGGGUACUUCCUGGCGGACGGGUCAGCAUCAGUUUUGAUCGUCGGAAAAUGGCNUGAGGAAUGUGGCACUCUUUCGGGAGUGUGUUAUAGACUCUUGUCGAAUACGAUGGUUGGGAUUGAGGAACUCAGCACGACCUUAGGGUUCGGGACUUUGGUCCACGUUUGCGUGCU